rnacentral:rRNA from 1 species
UACGAAGGGGGCUAGCGUUGUUCGGAAUUACUGGGCGUAAAGGGCGCGUAGGCGGCCAGCGCAAGUCAGUUGUGAAAUCUCCGGGCUUAACUCGGAAAGGUCAACUGAUACUGCGCGGCUAGAGUGCAGAAGGGGCAACUGGAAUUCUCGGUGUAGCGGUGAAAUGCGUAGAUAUCAAGAGGAACACCUGAGGUGAAGACGGGUUGCUGGGCUGACACUGACGCUGAGGCGCGAAAGCCAGGGGAGCGAACGGG